rnacentral:rRNA from 1 species
GACGUAGGGCGCGAGCGUUGUCCGGAUUUAUUGGGCGUAAAGAGCUCGUAGGCGGCUUGUCGCGUCGAAUGUGAAAUCUCAGGGCUCAACUCUGACAUUGCAUUCGAUACGGGCAGGCUCGAGUUCGGUAGGGGAGACUGGAAUUCCUGGUGUAGCGGUGAAAUGCGCAGAUAUCAGGAGGAACACCGGUGGCGAAGGCGGGUCUCUGGGCCGAUACUGACGCUGAGGAGCGAAAGCGUGGGGAGCGAACAGGA